ensembl:lncRNA
AAAUAAAGUGGUCAUGAGGUCGAGUGGUGAAGUCAUGAGGUAGAGUGGUGAAAUAAAGUGGUCAUGAGGUCGAGUGGUGAAGUCAUGAGGUAGAGUGGUGAAAUAAAGUGGUCAUGAGGUCGAGUGGUGAAGUCAUGAGGUAGAGUGGUGAAAUAAAGAGGUCAUGAGGUCGAGUGGUGAAGUCAUGAGGUCAAGUGGUGAAGUCAUGAGGUCAUGACUUGUUAAGAAACACACUGAUACUGAUAUUUAUUUAAUCGACACCUUUCCACGUAAACCGUUUCCUACAUUACCCAGAGUGCACUAGAAUCUAUCCCGUUUCUGUUCCUCCAUCUCCGCCUAACGACAGCGAUGCUCUAAUUCUUCCGAAGCUUCAUUUCUCCCACUAACACCUCCA